GGUUAAGCGACUAAGCGUACACGGUGGAUGCCCUGGCAGUCAGAGGCGAUGAAGGACGUGCUAAUCUGCGAUAAGCGUCGGUAAGGUGAUAUGAACCGUUAUAACCGGCGAUUUCCGAAUGGGGAAACCCAGUGUGAUUCGUCACACUAUCAUUAACUGAAUCCAUAGGUUAAUGAGGCGAACCGGGGGAACUGAAACAUCUAAGUACCCCGAGGAAAAGAAAUCAACCGAGAUUCCCCCAGUAGCGGCGAGCGAACGGGGAGCAGCCCAGAGCCUGAAUCAGUGUGUGUGUUAGUGGAAGCGUCUGGAAAGGCGCGCGAUACAGGGUGACAGCCCCGUACACAAAAAUGCACAUGCUGUGAGCUCGAUGAGUAGGGCGGGACACGUGGUAUCCUGUCUGAAUAUGGGGGGACCAUCCUCCAAGGCUAAAUACUCCUGACUGACCGAUAGUGAACCAGUACCGUGAGGGAAAGGCGAAAAGAACCCCGGCGAGGGGAGUGAAAAAGAACCUGAAACCGUGUACGUACAAGCAGUGGGAGCACGCUUCGGCGUGUGACUGCGUACCUUUUGUAUAAUGGGUCAGCGACUUAUAUUCUGUAGCAAGGUUAACCGAAUAGGGGAGCCGAAGGGAAACCGAGUCUUAACUGGGCGUUAAGUUGCAGGGUAUAGACCCGAAACCCGGUGAUCUAGCCAUGGGCAGGUUGAAGGUUGGGUAACACUAACUGGAGGACCGAACCGACUAAUGUUGAAAAAUUAGCGGAUGACUUGUGGCUGGGGGUGAAAGGCCAAUCAAACCGGGAGAUAGCUGGUUCUCCCCGAAAGCUAUUUAGGUAGCGCCUCGUGAAUUCAUCUCCGGGGGUAGAGCACUGUUUCGGCAAGGGGGUCAUCCCGACUUACCAACCCGAUGCAAACUGCGAAUACCGGAGAAUGUUAUCACGGGAGACACACGGCGGGUGCUAACGUCCGUCGUGAAGAGGGAAACAACCCAGACCGCCAGCUAAGGUCCCAAAGUCAUGGUUAAGUGGGAAACGAUGUGGGAAGGCCCAGACAGCCAGGAUGUUGGCUUAGAAGCAGCCAUCAUUUAAAGAAAGCGUAAUAGCUCACUGGUCGAGUCGGCCUGCGCGGAAGAUGUAACGGGGCUAAACCAUGCACCGAAGCUGCGGCAGCGACGCUGAUGCGUUGUUGGGUAGGGGAGCGUUCUGUAAGCCUGCGAAGGUGUGCUGUGAGGCAUGCUGGAGGUAUCAGAAGUGCGAAUGCUGACAUAAGUAACGAUAAAGCGGGUGAAAAGCCCGCUCGCCGGAAGACCAAGGGUUCCUGUCCAACGUUAAUCGGGGCAGGGUGAGUCGACCCCUAAGGCGAGGCCGAAAGGCGUAGUCGAUGGGAAACAGGUUAAUAUUCCUGUACUUGGUGUUACUGCGAAGGGGGGACGGAGAAGGCUAUGUUGGCCGGGCGACGGUUGUCCCGGUUUAAGCGUGUAGGCUGGUUUUCCAGGCAAUCCGGAAAAUCAAGGCUGAGGCGUGAUGACGAGGCACUACGGUGCUGAAGCAACAAAUGCCCUGCUUCCAGGAAAAGCCUCUAAGCAUCAGGUAACAUCAAAUCGUACCCCAAACCGACACAGGUGGUCAGGUAGAGAAUACCAAGGCGCUUGAGAGAACUCGGGUGAAGGAACUAGGCAAAAUGGUGCCGUAACUUCGGGAGAAGGCACGCUGAUAUGUAGGUGAGGUCCCUCGCGGAUGGAGCUGAAAUCAGUCGAAGAUACCAGCUGGCUGCAACUGUUUAUUAAAAACACAGCACUGUGCAAACACGAAAGUGGACGUAUACGGUGUGACGCCUGCCCGGUGCCGGAAGGUUAAUUGAUGGGGUUAGCGCAAGCGAAGCUCUUGAUCGAAGCCCCGGUAAACGGCGGCCGUAACUAUAACGGUCCUAAGGUAGCGAAAUUCCUUGUCGGGUAAGUUCCGACCUGCACGAAUGGCGUAAUGAUGGCCAGGCUGUCUCCACCCGAGACUCAGUGAAAUUGAACUCGCUGUGAAGAUGCAGUGUACCCGCGGCAAGACGGAAAGACCCCGUGAACCUUUACUAUAGCUUGACACUGAACAUUGAGCCUUGAUGUGUAGGAUAGGUGGGAGGCUUUGAAGUGUGGACGCCAGUCUGCAUGGAGCCGACCUUGAAAUACCACCCUUUAAUGUUUGAUGUUCUAACGUUGACCCGUAAUCCGGGUUGCGGACAGUGUCUGGUGGGUAGUUUGACUGGGGCGGUCUCCUCCUAAAGAGUAACGGAGGAGCACGAAGGUUGGCUAAUCCUGGUCGGACAUCAGGAGGUUAGUGCAAUGGCAUAAGCCAGCUUGACUGCGAGCGUGACGGCGCGAGCAGGUGCGAAAGCAGGUCAUAGUGAUCCGGUGGUUCUGAAUGGAAGGGCCAUCGCUCAACGGAUAAAAGGUACUCCGGGGAUAACAGGCUGAUACCGCCCAAGAGUUCAUAUCGACGGCGGUGUUUGGCACCUCGAUGUCGGCUCAUCACAUCCUGGGGCUGAAGUAGGUCCCAAGGGUAUGGCUGUUCGCCAUUUAAAGUGGUACGCGAGCUGGGUUUAGAACGUCGUGAGACAGUUCGGUCCCUAUCUGCCGUGGGCGCUGGAGAACUGAGGGGGGCUGCUCCUAGUACGAGAGGACCGGAGUGGACGCAUCACUGGUGUUCGGGUUGUCAUGCCAAUGGCACUGCCCGGUAGCUAAAUGCGGAAGAGAUAAGUGCUGAAAGCAUCUAAGCACGAAACUUGCCCGAGAUGAGUUCUCCCUGACUCCUUGAGAGUCCUGAAGGAACGUUGAAGACGACGACGUUGAUAGGCCGGGUGUGUAAGCGCAGCGAUGCGUUGAGCUAACCGGUACUAAUGAACCGUGAGGCUUAACCUU
rnacentral:rRNA from 1 species